UUAUAUUGAAAGACCCCCGGAGCGGGUAGACCCUCACUCAAGUCUCGGGAUGAUGCGACCCCCCAAGAACUCACGUGAGACC
rnacentral:pre_miRNA from 14 species